rnacentral:rRNA from 1 species
ACUACGGGUGGCAGCAGUGGGGAAUAUUGGACAAUGGGCGAAAGCCUGAUCCAGCCACGCCGCGUGUGUGAAGAAGGCCUUCGGGUUGUAAAGCACUUUCAGUGGGGAAGAAAGCCUUGGGGCUAAUACCCUCGAGGAAGGACAUCACCCACAGAAGAAGCACCGGCUAACUCCGUGCCAGCAGCCGCGGUAAUACGGAGGGUGCGAGCGUUAAUCGGAAUUACUGGGCGUAAAGCGCGCGUAGGCGGUCUGAUAAGCCGGUUGUGAAAGCCCCGGGCUCAACCUGGGAACGGCAUCCGGAACUGUCAGGCUAGAGUGCAGGAGAGGAAGGUAGAAUUCCCGGUGUAGCGGUGAAAUGCGUAGAGAUCGGGAGGAAUACCAGUGGCGAAGGCGGCCUUCUGGACUGACACUGACGCUGAGGUGCGAAAGCGUGGGUAGCAAACAGGAUUAGAUACCCUAGUAGUC